UUUCCGUAGGUGUACCUGCGGGAGGAUCAUUA
rnacentral:rRNA from 1 species